CUCCCGGCUAGGCUUGCCGGGAAGGCGGAUCCAGACGCUAAAGCCCAGCUGUGUGUGGGGUCCGCCCAGGAACUGCAGUUUAUGAACAAACUAAGCCUGACUCUCCUCUCGAAAUAUAUACAAAUAUGGGAGGGGGAGAGCAGGGGGAAGAAGCCUGGCUCCGAGAAAAAGAGUUUGAUUUUUUUUUUUUUCUUUCCCCGAUGACAACGCGGAGCUGCUCCCAGCUCCGUGACGGCCCAAGGAUCUUUGAAGGGGACCUAAUGUCUAGUGCACGCAUCUAAUCAAAAAGGCAUGGGUGCUCCUGCAUGCCUCUUUCAGCUGAAUAAAACACGGAAGGUUUCAGACAACCUGGGUUUCCACUGCUGGAGGCAAGACUGCAAUCAAUAGAUUUGAAGCUCCCAACGUAUGCACUCAACACCCUUGAGCAGGGCAACAUCACGAUGGAAUUGUGCCAGACCCAGCUUGUCCCAGCGAUGGUGUGGUGACCUCUGAUGGUCAGAUAGCACGAGGAGUGAAAUCACAGCCAGCGAUGGGACACAGCUAUACCUCCUCCAGGCACAGGUCUCCCUGUCUGCAUCGCCACAACCACUUCUCCUUAGCCCUGCCAACUUUCCCAUGCUCCUGCAUCCCAGCAAUGACACCACAUGCAGACAGACGCCAGUGAGGAUCAACCUUUGAAGACCAAAAGCACAAGCUGGCAUCUCUUCGGCUGCCGGACGCCUCUGGUUAGCAAGCACCUUUGGGUCUGAGAGGAAUUAGCCUGCAGAGGGAGGCACGGGCAGUUUGACAGCCUGACUCAUGAUCUUUGUAUUUGUAUUAUUAUUACUGGUAGUGAAAUUAUGAUAGGAUCCAGGAGCCUGAAUCGCAGAUGAGGAAUGUGCUUUUGAAGGGAAACUCCUGGCCAUCUCACUUUGGCUUGUGCUGCGAAUCUUAGGGCGGGUGACACGCUGGACUUUUAUCAUCAUCAGCUCAACUGGAAGGUGUGAAGGGUGGUCAGUCCCCAGGAGCGGGCUAGAGGCACCCUAAAAAUAUCCCCUAAAAUAUGUGUGGUGUAGUUGGUGGCUCCCCAGCUCCAGCUGUGCUGCUCCAUGAAUCUACUCAUACUGUACCUCACUGCUUGUGAGCACCAGCAGAGCCAGACACCACACAGGCACGUAGAUACGUGCCUCUCGUCAGCAGAAAUAUUGGCCGGUUAACUCUGUCUUCCUGAGUUACUGAAAGGCCAUGGGUGCUGGGGGAUAGGUGCAAAGCACGGCACUGUUUUAGCUGUUUUCUUUGAAGUUCUCAGUAGGAAAGUGAUGGUUGUUGGUGGUGGUCGUAUUAUCAUUUAAUUCUAACGACUUCUAAGAAGGUGAAGGGGUGAGGAACUUUAAAUGAAGUUACUGAAAAUUAGUGUUGUGACAAAGGGGUAAUUAUCUGAAAUUUUUCCCAUUAAUAUGGCAUAUAUUUUUUGUUUAAGGUGUGUUAUUUGCUAGAACAAAACAGGUUGCCAAAAGAACGAAGCAGGAAAGGUAACACACGUAACCUUACAAAAAGCAUCAAGGAGCUAGCCAUAAGGUAUAUAUCCCUUGCUUAGCUUUCUUCAGUAAAAAAAAACAGUUUAUCCAGAGUAAGAGUAGGAUGAAAAGGAUGGACUUACAGCCCAGAAAAAGAUGGGGUCCUUGUUUGCCAGAGACUGUGCAGGGAGUCAGGAAGGGGGGCAAUGAGGCACUCUGCUUCUACCCAUAUGGUGUCAUGGCUUAGAGAAGGCAUACUAAAACUUGCAUAUUAAAACUUGCAAAUUAAAAUUUGUGAAAAGGAGCAUCUGUGUUUGGUGAACUUGGGGUAUUGCUUUCUUUCCUGUGAGAUGUGUAACUCUCUGGUAAGGAAGUCAAUAGUGCUUUGAUGGGGAAAUGUUGCUUUUGAGAAAACCUACCUGAUGACAGCUUCUGAGUCUGAAGGGACUUGUAGUUAGAACUUGUAGUUGAGUUGAGCUUGCCUUCUUAUGAUUGAAGAACAAGGCACGUGCUGCCCAGUGAAGAUGCUGAAGAGCAGGAGGGUGCCCUGGUUAGAGUAACCUGCAGGAAAUGAGCAUCACGUCCUGUGAAGAGGGGGUUCAAAGAGAGCCUGACUGCACUAGUGGUUGUGCCCAGCUACGGGGGGGGACACACACACUAAAGCUUAUUUUAACCCAAGUAGUGCAAGCCCUGGAAGUACUCCUGAAAGCAGUACUGUCCUGGGACCAUUUAUCUGUGAGAAAAUACUGCUAGCCCACUUUGCAGCCUGAGGUGGGGAAACGUGGCUCAGGAAGAGCACUUUGUUGGAGUCUUUGGUGCUUACUGAAGACCUCUUUGUCGCACACUACUUUGUCAGGACAUUUCACACUCUCCUCUAAAGCUCCCCAGGCUAUAACGUACGUGAGGGCUACCCAGGCUGUUGGUCAUCUUGAUUUGGGCACUUCUAUCAUUAGCUUCCUUCUGCAUACCCAGUGUUGUAAGCCUUCUCCACAUCUCUUAAUAGUAUUACGAAAAUUCAAAGCUGAAAAUAGUUUUUGAAAUGACUGCAUGUUAGACCUGCAAAAUAUUACUGUAC